GUCACAAUACAAAUAGAAGAUGAUGAUGAUGAUAAGAGUGGAAAAAAUAAGAGAACUUCCAUUCCUGAAUAUGUCACAAUACAAAUGGAUGAUGAUGAUGAUGAUGAUUGUGCAAAACAUAAGAGGUGUCCCGUUUGUUUUUGGCUCUUUUUGCACUGAUGUCUUUGCCACCUUCUCACAGGGAUGGAGCAGUUAUGGAUGGAUAAAAAGAUUAUAUUUUUUAUUAUUGUAAUCUAUUUUUAUAUUAAAUAAAUAAAUAUAUAUA